rnacentral:rRNA from 1 species
GGGGGCUGCUCCUAGUACGAGAGGACCGGAGUGGACGCAUCACUGGUGUUCGGGUUGUCAUGCCAAUGGCACUGCCCGGUAGCUAAAUGCGGAAGAGAUAAGUGCUGAAAGCAUCUAAGCACGAAACUUGCCCCGAGAUGAGUUCUCCCUGACCCUUUAAGGGUCCUGAAGGAACGUUGAAGACGACGACGUUGAUAGGCCGGGUGUGUAAGCGCAGCGAUGCGUUGAGCUAACCGGUACUAAUGAACCGUGAGGCUUAACCUUACAACGCCGAAGGUGUUU